GGCAUAGCUCAGUGGUAGAGAAUAUACCUUCCACGCAGAAGGUCCUACGGUUCAAUCCCUGGCAUCACCA